UACGAAGGGUGCAAACGUUGCUCGGAAUUAUUGGGCGUAAAGCGCACGUAGGCGGCUUAGCAAGUCGGAUGUGAAAUCCCUCGGCUCAACCAAGGAAGUGCAUCCGAAACUGCUGAGCUUGAGUACGAAAGAGGAUCGCGGAAUUCCCGGUGUAGAGGUGAAAUUCGUAGAGAUCCGGAGGAACACCAGAGGCGAAGGCGGCCUGCUGGGCUGCACCUGACGCUGAGCCGCGAAAGCCAGGGGAGCGAACGGG
rnacentral:rRNA from 1 species